rnacentral:lncRNA from 1 species
AUAUAUAUAUUAAAUUUUAUAAAAACUAUAAUAAUUAUUAAUUAAUAUGCAACCAUUGAUUCCAUAAUUCCAUUCCAUUCAUGCCGCACCCUUUGAAGAAAAAGGGAGGGAAAAUGAAAAUUAUAAGAAAAGCUGAAAAGGAAACAAAAAAGAGAGGGAAAGAUGGGUAGGCUGCCGCCCUUUGAAGAAAAAGAAGGGAGGGAAAAAUGAAAAUUAAUAAAAGUGGUGAGAAAUUUUUUUUUUUAAAGUAUAUUAACUUUUUAUCACACAUAUCCCAGUAUUUUUAUAAUGACACGUGAUGUACUACUCCGUGGGCCGGACAAUUAUACGUACAAAAUAAAUAGAUUUAAAUCUACUUAAUAAAUAAAUAAAUAAAUAAAUAUAUAUACCAUUGAACUUGAUGGGAUACGAAUUAUACGAAACUAAUUUCAACGAUCCAACCGUCAAAUUUGUUUGUAUAUUCUUCGAGAUCAUAUCAACAAAAAAUCGUAAAAAACAAACAUUCAGAGAUCAAGUAACCGAACAAAACUUUUCGAUGGUUAUAAAAUGAAAAAUCACGAUUUAACGGUUAUUUUAACUCCGAUUUUGAUUAUUUUUUAUAGCUACACUCCUUAAUCCUAUAUGAAUACAAUGAAUGAAUUCGAUCUUCAAUUUAAAAUUUUUACACUACUGGAUACCACAAAAUCUUAUGUUAUACUUAAUGAAAGUAUG